rnacentral:rRNA from 1 species
GUAGAGAUACAUGAAGUCCUUCGGGACAUACAGACAGGUGGUGCAUGGUUGUUCGUCAGCUCGUGUCGUGAGAUGUUGGGUUAAGUCCCGCAACGAGCGCAACCCUUGUAUUUAGUUGCUACGCAAGAGCACUCUAGAUAGACUGCCGUGGACAACACGGAGGAAGGUGGGGAUGACGUCAAAUCAUCAUGCCCCUUAUGACCUGGGCUACACACGUACUACAAUGGCAAUGGAACAGAGGGAAGCGACUCAGCGAUGAGAAGCAGAUCCCGAAAAAUUGUCUCAGUUCGGAUUGCAGGCUGCAACCCGCCUGCAUGAAGUCGGAAUUGCUAGUAAUCGCGGAUCAGCAUGCCGCGGUGAAUACGUUCCCGGGCCUUGUACACACCGCCCGUCACACCAUGGGAGUCGGUAACACCCGAAGCCCGUAGCCUAACAGUAAUGAGGGCGCGGUCGAAGGUGGGAUUGAUGACUGGGGUGAAGUCGUAACAAGGUAACCAUA